UUUUUUUUUUUUUCCUUUUUCUGGAGAACGGGGUCUCGCUAUAUUGCCCAGGCAGGUCUCGAACUCCUGGGCUCAAGCUAUCCUCCCGCCUCUUAGCCUCCCUGAGAGCUGGGAUUACAGGCAUGUGCCACCACGCCCGGCUAAUUUUGUAUUUUCAGUAGAGGUGGGGUUUUACCAUGUUAGUCAGGCUGGUCUCGAACUCCUGACAUCAGGUGAUCCACCUGCCUCAGCCUCCUAAAGUGCUGGGAUUACCA
rnacentral:lncRNA from 1 species